CACCACUCCACACUCGCCUUCUUCCCAUCUUUACUCCUACCUGCUUUCGGACAAAUGGGAUCAAAUGGGACCACAAAUAAGCAGGUGCAGAAUAGAAGAACCGCCUUACAUAAUGCCCCGCAGGCCCCCACACCCAACGAAAACGGGUUGAUUAAUUUAUUUCCGUCGCGUUUGCAGAGCUGUCGCUGAGAUGAAAGAAACGAAUGGUCUCUAUCGAAGUCCCAGCCUGCUUCGUGGCUGCACUUUCCCAAAUUAAAACACCUGGAGUUCUUAAACCUCCUGCUCCGAUAUUUUUCUAGAUGAACUAUUGAGACUCCAAACUGGCACAGUUAGUGGCACAUUGUUCCUGUACAAGUAUCAACUCAUGUCCCAAGGACCAGAUGAGUGGAGAUACUUAGGAACAUUUGACUAUCAUGUUCCUCAAGAUAAGUUCUGGAGACAAUGAUUCAGAAUGCAGUUCCACUGCCCUUGAAAAGAUCACAGUAUGGGACGCCU